UACGAGGGGGGCGAGCGUUGUUCGGAAUUACUGGGCGUAAAGCGUGCGCAGGCGGCUUCUCAAGUCAGGGGUGAAAGGCCCAGAAGCUCAACUCUGGAAUUGCCUUUGAGACUGAGUGGCUUGAGUACGAGAGAGGUGAGUGGAAUUCCCAGUGUAGAGGUGAAAUUCGUAGAUAUUGGGAAGAACACCGGUGGCGAAGGCGGCUCACUGGCUCGUAACUGACGCUCA
rnacentral:rRNA from 1 species